rnacentral:lncRNA from 1 species
GAAAAAUGGCUGCAUUUGGAAAAUGAAUAGCUAGAGAAAAUUCUAAUGAAUAAGCCCAAGGCCUCCAGAAAUAAGGAGGAAAAUAACCAGCAUAAGGGAAGUCACUUCCUGGCCAGGAAAAAAAAUUCAAGCACGAGUAAGAUAACUUUGUCACUGAGUAGCUAAAGGAUGAAUGGCACGGUCUGGGAAACUUUAAAGUAUCCAGGAUUCCAGGAAGACCUGUUCCUUCCCAAGAUGCUUAAGGAUCUGUUCCCUGCUCCAUUGGAGACAUGCUGUUGGAAUGUGGAAAAG